GGGGACAUUUAUAGAGGAGGACACUCCUACAGAGAUCAGCACAGUUUUCAAAAAGAUGGAAGAAAACCUCAGUCUCAUCCAGAGGACCAAUGAGAAAAUCCUCUCAAAUCGCCGGAAAAUUCGAAUAUUAGACCUCCAAAACCAACAGCUGGAGCAACAGCAGAGGAAGAAUUUUGACGCGAUGGCUGAGCUUCACAAGCUCAUGCAAAAAUAUAUGUAAAUUUUUUUUUCUUGUUAUAAAAAAUGUUAUUCUUUUAAAA